rnacentral:rRNA from 1 species
GUUAAAUUCUCCUCAGUACGAAAGGACCAGGAAAAUAGGGCCCAUCUUUACAAGAAGCCCCUCCAGCAUAGUUGACAAAAACUUAACCUAAACCAAGACAAUAACCCAAGCCCAAAACCAGGGCUAAA